CGUCCCGAGCCUUUGCGUCAAAGAAAGCAAGGGUUUCCGGGCGCCGGGUUUUGCCACCCGCCGUCUCCCGGCGUCUCGCUCCGGAGAACGUGGAAAUCCGGACUCCUGGUUCUGCUGCCGCCCGGAGACACAGGUGCAGUCCGGAACCUUUCUGGGUUCUGAACUCUGGCCUGAGCGCGUCACAAGAUGCUGCAUGGCUGGGCCCACGGAACCUCCGGAGUACCUGGGUGUAAGCGCUGCCAUUAUGACUCACUGUUAUCUCCUGCCUAUUGUGGGACUUUUCAUACCUGUACCUCUCGAAGUUGAAUGAAAUAACAAUCUGGUUUGCUGUACAAGGUCCGGGUUACCAGGGCAAACCUCCCCAUAUGAGAUGUCGCAGCAGGUAAAAGAGCUUGCUGACCAAGCUGGAUCACCUGAGCUCCCUGGAACCCACCUGAUGGAAGGAGAGAACUGACUUAAGUUGUCAUCUGAUAGCUACAGGUUCAGUGCUGUGGCAUGUGUCCCUCCUCCCCACAACGAUGAUGAUGAGGAGGAAGAAGAUACAGAAAAUAAAAAUUCAAGAUUUAUUUGGGGAAGGUGGGGUGCUACAAACUAGUAAAUCCCAGGAAUCCCAGACUAAGGCAGGAGGUUCAUGAAAUUCAGCCUGAGCUAUGUAGCCAGACUGUCUCAAAAGGUCAGAAAGAGAAAGGAAAAAGAUUCACUUAUUCAAAGAAAUCGUGGCCUUUGAGAGGACGAAAGUAGUUCACCAACCAAACACAUAUUGAAAACCUCGUGUAUACAGAGCAUAAAGGAAGUCUGAUACACACACAGAGUUCCCAUUUCAUCUUUGCUGGCUGCAGACAGUAGGCCCAGUAAGCAGAUAAAGACACGACCUACAAAGACUCAGUUACCGGCCCUGGGUCACACGUGUAAGUGGUGGGGUCGAAAGGAGGAAGGCAGUGAGCUAGAGAGGGUUCCAGGCUUCCUGCCUCCAG
rnacentral:lncRNA from 1 species